rnacentral:rRNA from 1 species
UACGUAGGUGACAAGCGUUGUCCGGAUUUACUGGGCGUAAAGAGCGCGCAGGCGGUCGAUCAAGUCGAGUGUGAAAGCCCCCGGCUCAACUGGGGAGGGUCAUUCGAUACUGAUCGACUCGAAGGCAGGAGAGGGUAGUGGAAUUCCCGGUGUAGUGGUGAAAUGCGUAGAUAUCGGGAGGAACACCGGUGGCGAAGGCGGGUCUCUGGGCCGUAACUGACGCUGGAGGAGCGAAAGCAUGGGGAGCGAACAGG